GACAUUUGGUAGAGACUGUGGCAGCCACCUGGUCCCAGCAGACCCCAGAAAACAGCCACAUUCGUGGGUGCUGGAACAAGAUCGUUAAGGGUGAAGCCUGGUGCCAGAUGUGU
ensembl:rRNA 5S_rRNA 5S ribosomal RNA